UACGGAGGGUGCAAGCGUUAAUCGGAAUUACUGGGCGUAAAGCGUGCGCAGGCGGUUUGUUAAGUCCGUUGUGAAAGCCCCGAGCUCAACUUGGGAAUUGCAGUGGAUACUGGCAGGCUGGAGUACGGUAGAGGAAGGUGGAAUUCCCGGUGUAGCAGUGAAAUGCGUAGAUAUCGGGAGGAACACCUGUGGCGAAAGCGGCUCACUGGACCACAACUGACGCUGAGGCGCGAAAGCUAGGGGAGCAAACAGG
rnacentral:rRNA from 1 species